rnacentral:tRNA from 1 species
GGCCCCGUGGUGUAGCCUGGUCAACACGCCCGCCUGUCACGUGGGAGAUCGCGGGUUCAAGUCCCGUCGGGGCCGCCA